rnacentral:rRNA from 1 species
GUGGGGAAUAUUGCGCAAUGGGCGAAAGCCUGACGCAGCGACGCCGCGUGAGGGAUGAAGGUUUUCGGAUCGUAAACCUCUGUCAGAAGGGAAGAAAGUGCGUGGUGCUAACCAGCCGCGUAUUGACGGUACCUUCAAAGGAAGCACCGGCUAACUCCGUGCCAGCAGCCGCGGUAAUACGGAGGGUGCGAGCGUUAAUCGGAAUUACUGGGCGUAAAGCGCACGUAGGCUGUUGUGUAAGUCAGGGGUGACAUCCCACGGCUCAACCGUGGAACUGCCCUUGAUACUGCAUGACUGGAAUCCGGGAGAGGGUGGCGGAAUUCCAGGUGUAGGAGUGAAAUCCGUAGAUAUCUGGAGGAACAUCAGUGGCGAAGGCGGCCACCUGGACCGGUAUUGACGCUGAGGUGCGAAAGCGUGGGGAGCAAACAGG